rnacentral:snRNA from 1 species
AUAUAUUUUGUAAAAAAAAAAAAAAAUCUGUUCUUAUCAGUUUAAUAUCGAUACGUCCCCCCCAUCGGGACUACAUAAAAUGGAUUUUUCGAACAGGGAGUCGGAAAUGGGGCUUGCUCCGUCCGCUCCACGCAAUCGACCCGGUAUUGCAGUACCUCCGGAAAAUGGUGCAACACUU